CUAUGUGUCUAUAUAAUCUAUAUUAUAUCUAUAUAUUAUCGGUGAUAUAUGAAGAAACUAUGCUUGUAUGAUAUAAAAAUCAUUGAGAAAUGAAAUAUAUUCGAAAUUACUAACUAUUUGUUCAAGUAAUCAAAAAAUGUUGGAUUUCAAUAGAUUUUAUUUAUGUAAUAGGCAUUCAAUAACAUAAGUAUAUUAUUAUAUAGAGAAAGAAAAAUAUUAUUGUUAUUAUAAUUUUUAAUAUAUUUUAAUAUAUAUUAAUAUAUAUUUUUAAUAUAUAUUUUAAUAACUCAUUAAUAUUUUAAAUAUUUAUGAAUAUUAUUAUUAUUUUAGUUUGGACUGUAUAUUUUCAUAUUGAUUAUAUUAGAACAGUUAUUGCAUUUCCAAUAUUUUAUAUUAUUUUAAAUGCUAAGACUAUGAUUAUUUUUUUCUAUUUUUUUAAAUUUCAAUUGGAAGUAUAUGUUUUUAAAUACAAAUUAUCUAUAAAAUUAUCUAAAAAAUUAUCUAUAUUAUUUUUAUUAAUUAUCAUCAACUAGUAGAUUAAGUGCAAAUAAAUUAUGCGGAUUUGAUUAAACAUCAAAUGAGAAUAGAUGUUUAAUCUAAAAUAGUGAUUCUGAAAAUAUGAGAUAAUGUAUGGAGUUAUAAUAAUAAAAUAUGA